ACUAAGAGGAACUGGACACCAGGAGCCUCAUACCAGGACUGCCCAGCCGAGCCACUCGAUUCCUGACCCACAUGGCCCUUGAGAUGACAAGUGAUUGCUGCUUAAAGUCACUGAGUUCUGGAAUAAUUUACAUCAUGGCAAUAGUUCCAAUAUUCAGUAUCAGGCCUGGUCCUCCUAAUCUACUGGAGAAGAGUUGGUUAUGGCAUGGCAUCUAAUAGUCAUCUCUUCUUAAUACAAAUGAUAAUAAAUUUCACUGCUAAGACGACAAUCAUCUGAAAAAAACAGACAUUUGCUUAUGUUUUAAAGUCAUAAUAGCAAACUGGGGCUCUCUUCAACAUCUGGAUUCAUCUCAGAGCACUGGCAAUCUGUGUUUAACAGCAGUCAUGUCUUUACCAGAUGUAGAAAGAAUGUUCUCUUCUUUUGGACUUACCUAAAUAUCAUUUGGAAAUUGGAAGAACAGGAAAGCAUAUCCUUUUUCACUAACUAUAAAAAUAAUUUGGAAGGAGAAGGAAACAAAAAAAACCUUGAAGUUUUCUAUGCUGGUCUACAUGGUCUUACAAUGAAUCUCAGAGCAACGGUUUAUGACUUAAAUUAUAUGCUGUGUUCCUUAGCAUACUUUUUCUUCAAAAACUAGUAAUUCUAAAUUGUAUAAUUCUUGACUAUGAUAAAAGAGCCCAUUUCUUGACCAUGUCAUUUAUACUGGACUUUUGUUACUGAUGGGGAAAAAUCCAGAAUUUGUAAUAAUUAUGUCUUGGAUAUGCAAAUGGUUGAUUAUUUUCCUAACAAUUCCCAAAAUAUCCACAUCAUAAAGCAGAAUUAAAGAUGGUUUGCCUCUCA
rnacentral:lncRNA from 10 species